GGAGAGGUGGUCGAGUGGUCGAAGGCGCCGGUCUCGAAAACCGGAGUGGGUUUACGCCCACCGAGGGUUCGAAUCCCUCCCUCUCCGCCA
rnacentral:tRNA from 2 species